rnacentral:rRNA from 1 species
CAGUCACUGGGGGCUUGGGAACACCUGGCCGCGUGGACAACCUCACGCGACUCCCCUUCCUGUCCUCGUGUGGUCGCUCCUCGCGGGGCGUCUGCGCGUGGCUGGAGAGUUUACUUUGAAAAAAUUAGAGUGAUCAAAGCAGGCGCACACCAAACAUGCCUGAAUAGCUGUUCAUGGAAUAAUGGAAUAGGGCCCCGGAUCCUAUUCUGUUGGUUACUUACCCGGGAUCACCUGGGAGCAAUGAUUAAGAGGAGCGGCACGGGGGCAAUCGUACUGCGACGUGAGAGGUGAAAUUCUUGGAUCGUCGCAAGACGAACUGCAGCGAAAGCGUUUGCCAAGUACGUUUCCAUUAAUCAAGAACGAAAGUCAGAGGUUCGAAGACGAUUAGAUACCGUCGUAGUUCUGACCGUAAACUAUGCCGUUCGGCAGCCCGUCGUUGUCGACCCAUUGACAUGACCCGGCGGGAGGCCUGUGGGAAACCAGAAAGUUCAGGUUCCAGGGGAAGUAUGGUUGCAAAGCUGAAACUUAAAGGAAUUGACGGAAGGGCACCACCAGGAGUGGGACCUGCGGCUUAAUUUGACUCAACACGGGAAAACUCACUCGGUCCGGACACUGAGAGGAUUGACAGAUUAAUGCUCUUUCUUGAUUCAGUGGGUGGUGGUGCAUGGCCGUUCUUAGUUCGUGGAGUGAUUUGUCUGGUUAAUUCCGAUAACGGACGAGACUCUAGCCUGCUAUUUAGUUCGCUGACAGACAGCCGUCGUCUAGUGCACGUCCGCGAGGAGAACCUCGUGGCAAAGGGGUCUGCCCUCACGGGUGGGCGCUGGCGCCGCGAGCUCACGGGCGAGAAGCUUCUUAGAGGGACUGGUGGCGAUUAGCCACAGGAAGUAGAGCAAUAACAGGUCUGUGAUGCCCUUAGAUGUCCGAGGCCGCACGCGCGUCACAAUGGAAGAGGCAACGUGGACACCAACGUGCUCCGAGAGGAGUGCGAACUCCCAUGAAACUCUUUCUCGAUGGGGAUUGGGGAUUGCAAUGGUCCUCAUGAACGCGGAAUUCCUAGUAAGCGUCAGUCAUCAACUGGCGCUGAUUAAGUCCCUGCCCUUUGUACACACCGCCCGUCGCUACUACCGAUUGAAUGGUUUAGUGAGACUUUUGGACUGGAAUCGAGGGCGGCAGCCUCUGUCACCUCGUAGUACGGAAAGUUGGUCGAACUUAAUCAUUAGAGGAA